CGAACGGGUGAGUAACACGUGAGUAACCUGCCCUUGACUCUGGGAUAAGCCUGGGAAACUGGGUCUAAUACCGGAUAUGACCAUCUGACGCAUGUCAUGGUGGUGGAAAGCUUUUGUGGUUUUGGAUGGACUCGCGGCCUAUCAGCUUGUUGGUGGGGUAAUGGCCUACCAAGGCGACGACGGGUAGCCGGCCUGAGAGGGUGACCGGCCACACUGGGACUGAGACACGGCCCAGACUCCUACGGGAGGCAGCAGUGGGGAAUAUUGCACAAUGGGCGGAAGCCUGAUGCAGCGACGCCGCGUGAGGGAUGACGGCCUUCGGGUUGUAAACCUCUUUCAGUAGGGAAGAAGCGAAAGUGACGGUACCUGCAGAAGAAGCGCCGGCUAACUACGUGCCAGCAGCCGCGGUAAUACGUAGGGCGCAAGCGUUAUCCGGAAUUAUUGGGCGUAAAGAGCUCGUAGGCGGUUUGUCGCGUCUGCUGUGAAAGACCGGGGCUCAACUCCGGUUCUGCAGUGGGUACGGGCAGACUAGAGUGCAGUAGGGGAGACUGGAAUUCCUGGUGUAGCGGUGAAAUGCGCAGAUAUCAGGAGGAACACCGAUGGCGAAGGCAGGUCUCUGGGCUGUAACUGACGCUGAGGAGCGAAAGCAUGGGGAGCGAACAGGAUUAGAUACCCUGGUAGUCCAUGCCGUAAACGUUGGGCACUAGGUGUGGGGGACAUUCCACGUUUUCCGCGCCGUAGCUAACGCAUUAAGUGCCCCGCCUGGGGAGUACGGCCGCAAGGCUAAAACUCAAAGGAAUUGACGGGGGCCCGCACAAGCGGCGGAGCAUGCGGAUUAAUUCGAUGCAACGCGAAGAACCUUACCAAGGCUUGACAUGAACCGGAAAGACCUGGAAACAGGUGCCCCGCUUGCGGUCGGUUUACAGGUGGUGCAUGGUUGUCGUCAGCUCGUGUCGUGAGAUGUUGGGUUAAGUCCCGCAACGAGCGCAACCCUCGUUCUAUGUUGCCAGCGCGUUAUGGCGGGGACUCAUAGGAGACUGCCGGGGUCAACUCGGAGGAAGGUGGGGACGACGUCAAAUCAUCAUGCCCCUUAUGUCUUGGGCUUCACGCAUGCUACAAUGGCCGGUACAAAGGGUUGCGAUACUGUGAGGUGGAGCUAAUCCCAAAAAGCCGGUCUCAGUUCGGAUUGGGGUCUGCAACUCGACCCCAUGAAGUCGGAGUCGCUAGUAAUCGCAGAUCAGCAACGCUGCGGUGAAUACGUUCCCGGGCCUUGUACACACCGCCCGUCAAGUCACGAA
rnacentral:rRNA from 1 species